GGUCCUCCAAAAGGAAAGACCCAAGAUACUGCAGCCAAAAAGUCUCAUGACUCAGAUAAAUUCCUGAGACAAACACAGAAGGAAGCACCCGGGGGACAAGUGAUGGACCAAAAGGCUGUUCAGGAGGAGGAACACUCAGGGAGAAGCAGUGGCUCAUUGGCAGCUCCUGCUGCGGGAAGGAAGGCGAUGCCAGACACGGGCACAGGCACAGCAGAUGCAGCCGGCACCACAAGACCUGUUCCCGAUGCCCAGGAUGGCCUCGGAAGGGGUUUCUGUCAGGGAACAGUCUGCUGGCUAGGGUUACUGG